CUGCCCAGCAAACAUACCUAUAUCGGGCCGAUAUCGGCUAUAUGAUGGAAUAUCUGUGUCGGCUACCAUAUAUCGGACCGAUGUCUAUCCGAUAUUGACAUAUUUCACUGAUAUAGGUCCGACAUCGGUCCGAUUUAUAUUCGUUUGACAUGAUUUAAGUUUUAUCAUGGUAACGUUUUUUAGCAUACAGGACCAUGAAACCGGGAAAAAAUUUCCGAAUUUUAACGCAUUUAACCAUUGAACGGAUAUUUAUCGCAAUUUGCACAAUGGUAAAUAGUUACCUACGCACCGUACAUCCGGGCACGCUUACAUUUGGCGCAAAACUCAACAAGGGACAAAAGUUCGAAUAUUUAUAAUCGCUGGUGUUCCAUCAAAAUUGUUAUCGUCAUCUGAUGAAGAAACUCCUACACAUAUUCAAAAAUUAAAGCUUCCACCAAGGCCAUGCCCUGUACUACCAGACUGCAGAAGCAGCCUACAAUCAUCGUAACAGACCACGCUUACAGGCACUCCAACAACCCAGGAUACAUACCCAACUGUAGCGAUAUCAUCAACCCCUCGUUCGGUUGGCAGUAAUAGAGUACCAUCAACCCCUCAUUCAGUGGUCAGUGAUCGAGUACCUUCUACCCCUAGUUCAGUUGUCAGUAAUAGAGUACCAUCAACCCCUCAUUCAGUGGUUAGUGAUCGAGUACCUUUCUACCCCUAAUUCAGUUGUCAGUGAUCUAAAUGAAACACCAGAGACCCCUGCAGGUAGUUCCACUGCCAUGCGUUCCGAAGUAGCACGAGAUAUCCGCAUUUUUACCCUAUUAGAAAAAAUGUCUCGACAACAGACACAAAUAUUGGACACUGUUCAUCAGGUAUUUGGUGUCGUGUCAAAGUUGGAAAGUCAAGAUGGUGGUGGACCAACUGAAUUGCCUGAUGAUAUUCAUUUACCAGUUACAAGCAUUGAAGAACUGGAGUUGGUUGAGACAGGUUUACAAGAACCUGGUUGUUUCAAUGGCUUGGUAAAUUUAUUUUCAUUAGUUAGAAAGAUGUUAAUUUUAUCUUUGCACGAAAUGAAUUUAUUAUUGUUUUUGAAAACAAAAGUGUUUUUGCUAAACUUUUUUUAUGUCACUAAAAUUUUGCACACUAGUUUUCUGUCCGUCAUACUGUUCUUAAAAGUUUUUGGCCUGUCAUUAGUGUGCUUUUGUUUGUAACACAAAAGACAUUAUAUUAUUACUCUAGUGUAAUAUGUAGACAUUAUAUUAUAACUAGUGUAAUAUAGUAUUUCUUAAAUAGAGAAUAUCUGUUUGUUUUGCAUGUAAGAUUGAAAAAUAUUUCACUGAGCGAACACCAGAUGCAAUAUUAAUUUCAUGACUUGCAUUGCAACGAAUGAAAAUAAAAUACCUGGUGUUCACGAAUGAAAUAUAUUUCAAUCUUAUAAUGUAAAACAAAUAAAUUUUCUUUUUAUUUCAUGCUUUUUUCGUGAUUUUAAAUAUUUUUUACUGAUUUGCUGCCUGACGUCGCGCAUUCUCCUUUAUGAAGUCAUAACAUCAUGAU